rnacentral:lncRNA from 1 species
GGUAGAGCGUGCAGGUGCAGCCCAUCAGCACUAGGACGGGCUGGUGUUUCUACUCGAACGGGCUGGGCUGGCUGAGUGCCACUGCCCGGCCCAAUAAGCAUGCUUAUUCCAUGGUUCCCGCAGGGCCGCAACAACGACCCGAGGGAGGGAACAUGUCUGGAGGAGAUACAAUUUUCAUUAUUUCAGUUUCAAAAAAAAAAAAUCAUUAUUUCGC